GCCCUUAUUCCGGUUGAUCCUGCCGGAGGACAUUGCUAUUGGGAUUCGAUUUAGCCAUGCUAGUCGAGCGAGUUUAGACUCGCGGCGAAUAGCUCAGUAACACGUGGCCAAGCUCCCCUUCAGUCAGCGAUACCCUCGGGAAACUGAGGUUAACAGCUGAUACAAAACGCCAGCUGGAAUGCGGCGUUUCAGAAAGACAUCGCUGAAGGAUGCGGCUGCGGCCGAUUAGGUAGACGGUGGGGUAACGGCCCACCGUGCCAGUAAUCGGUACGGGUGAUGAGAGUCAGAGCCCGGAGACGGAAUCUGAGACAAGAUUCCGGGCCCUACGGGGCGCAGCAGGCGCGAAACCUUUACACUGCACGACAGUGCGAUAGGGGAAUCCCGAGUGCGAGGGCAUACAGUCCUCGCUUUUGCACACCGUAAGGAGGUGUGCGAAUAAGGGCUGGGCAAGACCGGUGCCAGCCGCCGCGGUAAUACCGGCAGCCCGAGUGAUGGCCGAUAUUAUUGGGCCUAAAGCGUCCGUAGCU
rnacentral:rRNA from 1 species